CCCACUACAAUGACAGCCGGGAUAAGAAGACAAAACACCUGCCUGUCCAUUUCAUCAAGACUUUAAUAUCACUCACUGGACAAACUAAGAAGUCGUGUGUCUCGCUGAAGGAUUGUGUUCAGACUGAGGAGCAUUGCCUUUUAAAGUUAAUCAGAAAUGUCUACAUCACCUCAGACAAUCGUAAGAGUGGAUGAAAUCGUCCCGCUGAAUACCAUCCCAGGGUCAAGCUACACAUCACAUAAUGGCAAACACGUAAUCAACUGCAUUGAACGGUGUGCCGCCUCCUGCUGCGAUGACAGCUACCACAGGAAGCUCGCCAUCUGCAGCAUCAUCUGUGGCGUGUCCUGCAUCGGAAUCAAGGCUCUGAUCUAUUCAGUCAAGGCGGAGACCACGACAGGUCCAGAGAGAGCAAAGUUUUCAAAACGGGCAAAAAAGUUUGGCAUCAUGUCCAUCGUGAUAUGGGUUAGCGUUCUGGCUUCAAUCCCCAUACUGAUGGCACUGAUCUCUUAUCUCGUCACGCUGCGAGACUGAUCAAGUUUGAUAAACUUCUACAGAAGACAAGCAGAAGAGGGACUUUUGUAUGUUGAUGGGGACAGACAGCGGACAAUACAAAGCUGCUCAUCAACUAAUAAAAGCCACGAAGAUAUGAAGACACGGGAAGCUACACGAAACACAAAAAAGACCCUGUCCCAGUUUACUUUUCUACUUCCUCUUAACCAUU